AUUACACCGAAUGGGAGCUGAUAUUUUUCGGCUGAGAGGAGAUGGGUUCUAGUCUCGACCAUAAAACCUGAUCUGGGUAAUGCCAGCGUAGGAAUAUAUUAAACCUUCCCU
rnacentral:ncRNA from 2 species